CGCGGGAAGCACGCAGCGAUGUGAGGGACAGGGCACCGCGCUCCCGGCGCUGCUGAGCCCUGUGUUAGCGCCUGCUCUGUUCCGAGGCAGCACCGACACCCUGCGUACCGGGUUGGAAUGUCCUUUACAGCAUGGACCAUCCCGCCCCGCUGCUUUAUGAAACGGGAGGCUGGAACUGGCAGGAGUGACAGCAGGCAGCCCCCUCCUGGCACAGCUUCCGUCAUCUCCCGUGCGUGUGACAGCACCGGCCUCUCCGUCACUCCCUGGGCUGGAGAAAGCCAAAAGCUUGGCCGUCCUGCGUCUUCAAAUUACAAACAUACCCAGUUCAGACUCAGAAUGAGCUGCAGGAACCCUCCAGGUCUGGCUGCUAGAGAUAAAGCAAAUGGAUAAAUCUACUGUGACGGGUGGUGUUAGCAAAGAUCUUGUCAGGUUCAAGAGUGGAUAAGGACAUCCUAGACUGGCAUGCUGAUUGAGUCACACCUUCAGAGCUUCCAGUCUCUCUGCAGGUGGAAUGCCUCCUGUCCCUCAAGUGGCUCAGCAGAUUAGUCAGGAGGAAAACCAGCAGCAAAAUGGACCAAAUUUGUCAAGUUGGCUUAAUUCCUUACCUGCUGCAUAUGACAGGAACCCAGUUCUGCCCCAGCAGGUACAACCAGCAGGCUGGGAUAGGAACAAUGUGCUUGUGGUCCCAGCUCCAGUUCCCUCACAACAACAGUACACAGACUGGCCUCUCUUUGAUUUGAUUGGGAUGGAAAGCCAUAUUAGUUGCUACAAAGCACAAAUGCUGUUAAAACUGAAGGUAACUGGAAAGUUUAUUGAAGACAUCUCCUGCUCCCUUUCAUCAGCCAGACUUAAGCCAGUGAAGCUCAAACCAAAAAGAAGCUUUAUCUGGUCACAGUAGAUUCAGAAAAUAAUUUUGAAUUUAAAGGGUAUCCAAAGAGAAAAAAGACAAGUAAAAGAACACCUGGAUAAAAUAUACUUCUGGAAUGAGUGUCAUUAUUCCAGAAUCCUCCUGUAUGGCAGAGACCUGUUGGAAACUUGUUCUUGGAUCAGUGAAAGAAAAAUCUCUCAGCAUUGUUCUGCCAGGAUUAACAAGUGGUGCUGGGCAGGCUUUGCAAAUUGCCUUCCAUAUUCCAGCACUUCAGAGGCUCUAAGGAUCCAUUGCAGGAAAUCAUUCUGACACUGAAACAGCAACAGAUUGCCCUGAAGGAUGUUAU